rnacentral:rRNA from 1 species
UCGUAAGGACAUGUGGAGCGCUUAGAAGUGAGAAUGCCGGUGUGAGUAGCGAAAGACGGGUGAGAAUCCCGUCCACCGAUUGACUAAGGUUUCCAGAGGAAGGCUCGUCCGCUCUGGGUUAGUCGGGUCCUAAGCUGAGGCCGACAGGCGUAGGCGAUGGAUAACAGGUUGAUAUUCCUGUACCACCUAUAAUCGUUUUAAUCGAUGGGGGGACGCAGUAGGAUAGGCGAAGCGUGCGAUUGGAUUGCACGUCUAAGCAGUAAGGCUGAGUAUUAGGCAAAUCCGGUACUCGUUAAGGCUGAGCUGUGAUGGGGAGAAGACAUUGUGUCUUCGAGUCGUUGAUUUCACACUGCCGAGAAAAGCCUCUAGAUAGAAAAUAGGUGCCCGUACCGCAAACCGACACAGGUAGUCAAGAUGAGAAUUCUAAGGUGAGCGAGCGAACUCUCGUUAAGGAACUCGGCAAAAUGACCCCGUAACUUCGGGAGAAGGGGUGCUCUUUAGGGUUAACGCCCAGAAGAGCCGCAGUGAAUAGGCCCAAGCGACUGUUUAUCAAAAACACAGGUCUCUGCUAAACCGUAAGGUGAUGUAUAGGGGCUGACGCCUGCCCGGUGCUGGAAGGUUAAGAGGAGUGGUUAGCUUCUGCGAAGCUACGAAUCGAAGCCCCAGUAAACGGCGGCCGUAACUAUAACGGUCCUAAGGUAGCGAAAUUCCUUGUCGGGUAAGUUCCGACCCGCACGAAAGGCGUAACGAUUUGGGCACUGUCUCAACGAGAGACUCGGUGAAAUCAUAGUACCUGUGAAGAUGCAGGUUACCCGCGACAGGACGGAAAGACCCCGUGGAGCUUUACUGUAGCCUGAUAUUGAAAUUCGGCACAGCUUGUACAGGAUAGGUAGGAGCCUUUGAAACGUGAGCGCUAGCUUACGUGGAGGCGCUGGUGGGAUACUACCCUAGCUGUGUUGGCUUUCUAACCCGCACCACUUAUCGUGGUGGGAGACAGUGUCAGGCGGGCAGUUUGACUGGGGCGGUCGCCUCCUAAAAGGUAACGGAGGCGCUCAAAGGUUCCCUCAGAAUGGUUGGAAAUCAUUCAUAGAGUGUAAAGGCAUAAGGGAGCUUGACUGCGAGACCUACAAGUCGAGCAGGGUCGAAAGACGGACUUAGUGAUCCGGUGGUUCCGCAUGGAAGGGCCAUCGCUCAACGGAUAAAAGCUACCCCGGGGAUAACAGGCUUAUCUCCCCCAAGAGUUCACAUCGACGGGGAGGUUUGGCACCUCGAUGUCGGCUCAUCGCAUCCUGGGGCUGUAGUCGGUCCCAAGGGUUGGGCUGUUCGCCCAUUAAAGCGGUACGCGAGCUGGGUUCAGAACGUCGUGAGACAGUUCGGUCCCUAUCCGUCGUGGGCGUAGGAAAUUUGAGAGGAGCUGUCCUUAGUACGAGAGGACCGGGAUGGACAUACCUCUGGUGUACCAGUUGUCGUGCCAACGGCAUAGCUGGGUAGCUAUGUGUGGACGGGAUAAGUGCUGAAAGCAUCUAAGCAUGAAGCCCCCCUCAAGAUGAGAUUUCCCAACUUCGGUUAUAAGAUCCCUCAAAGAUGAUGAGGUUAAUAGGUUCGAGGUGGAAGCAUGGUGACAUGUGGAGCUGACGAAUACUAAUCGAUCGAAGACUUAAUCAA